UACGUAGGGGGCAAGCGUUGUCCGGAAUCAUUGGGCGUAAAGAGCGUGUAGGCGGCUCGGUAAGUCCGCUGUGAAAGUCCAGGGCUCAACCCUGGAAUGCCGGUGGAAACUGUCGAGCUAGAGUCCGGAAGAGGCGAGUGGAAUUCCUGGUGUAGCGGUGAAAUGCGCAGAUAUCAGGAGGAACACCAAUGGCGAAGGCAGCUCGCUGGGACGGUACUGACGCUGAGACGCGAAAGCGUGGGGAGCAAGCAGG
rnacentral:rRNA from 1 species